UACGGAGGGGGCUAGCGUUGUUCGGAAUUACUGGGCGUAAAGCGCACGUAGGCGGAUUGGAAAGUUGGGGGUGAAAUCCCGGGGCUCAACCCCGGAACUGCCUUCAAAACUCCCAGUCUGGAGGUCGAGAGAGGUGAGUGGAAUUCCGAGUGUAGAGGUGAAACUCGUAGAUAUUCGGAGGAACACCAGUGGCGAAGGCGGCUCACUGGCUCGAUACUGACGCUGAGGUGCGAAAGCGUGGGGAGCAAACAGG
rnacentral:rRNA from 1 species